GAUCAACGCUGGCGGCGUGCCUCAGACAUGCAAGUCGAACGAUUAAGACUCUCUUCGGAGAGUGUAUAAAGUGGCGCACGGGUGAGUAACACGUAGGUAAUGUACCGAAGGGUGGGGAAUAACUUAGGGAAACUUAAGCUAAUACCGCAUAAUGCAGCGGCUCGACAUCGAGACAGUUGUUAAAGGAGCAAUCCGCCUUUUGAGCAGCCUGCGGCAGAUUAGCUAGUUGGUAAGGUAAUGGGCUUACCAAGGCUACGAUCUGUAACCGACCUGAGAGGUGGUCGGUCACACUGACACUGAAUAACGGGUCAGACUCCUACGGGAGGCAGCAGUGGGGAAUAGUUGCGCAAUGGGCGAAAGCCUGACGCAGCGACGCCGCGUGGGUGA
rnacentral:rRNA from 1 species